CCAAGUUCUAUUGUCUCUGAGUUCUCAGAGUCUCGGCUUCUCUCUGUGGGUGGAAGCUGAGCACCGCCGUUCAGGAAUACGAGAAGAUACAAAUGCACUAGAUAUGAUGAGAUGGUUGGACAGGCACCACCUGACAAUGCGCAGAUGAGACCAGCAGCAGUUCAUUAGUCACAUACCCUCACAGCCUGCUGUGGGGGUGGAGGAGGACAGCGCACACCUUGCAGGGCCACGUGACAGCCACACCGGGCUUGCCCUCUGGAGCUGCCCUUGGGAGCAGAGCAAGCCAGCAGGGACUGUGUAGUAUAGGCUUUACAGUAAUAAGAGGGUGCAUGCGUGUGGGCUAAGUUGCUUCAGUCGUACACAACUGAGCGAACAACACACAGGCAAUUUCAAGAUUCCCUGGUACUGAGAACCCAGAGCCUGUUCCUAGCCCUUCUUCACACGCUGGGGCUCUGGGUUUCUGCUGCUUCCAGAGACAGAAGUGUGCCGGCUUGGUCCAAGGCCUUUGUAUGUGUAUAGAUGAUGCUGAUAAAAUAGAAAAUGAUCAUCAUAGCAGCUGAGGAAGCUAAGCCCAAGCUCAGGCAGCCAGGGGCGGGGAGUGCUGGUAGGAGGCCAGUCUUGAACCUGCUCUUUUUGUGUUCAUUUUACACCCUUCCCGCAGCACCAGCACAGAUUUGCAGAGACAGCUCAUCAGAAAGGAGCCUGUGCAAACCCGCAGGCUCCCUGCUAUGGGUCAGGUGGCCGCGCCGCGGUGAGUGCGGAGAACAGCGGGUGUGCCCUGUCUCUUCGCAGGGCCAACCGGCCCACUGUGCAGCAUCCAGGCUGCAGGCCAGAAUGCCUUGCAGGGGUCGUGUUUGAUUCCACCUCUCAGCCUGCCUACGAAUGCAGGUCCCUGGGACGUCCCUAGUGGCCUGGGCUGCUCCUGAACCAUCUGCUUCCUAACCAGACCUGCCAGAGACUGCCCCCAGCCAUGGGCCUCCGAAGCCAAGCUGAUAGGUGGGGACACGAGUGGUGACCACAUUUGAGAGACAUGCAGACAGGCUCCUGUGUGGCCAUUUCUCCCCAUUUUAUUUCCCUUUCCACUCCAGAAGACGAUUAAAAAUUGGGGGAGAGAGUAACACAGAAGCAUGUAUACUAUCACAUAUAAAAUAGAUAACCAAUGGGAAUUUGCCAUAUGACUCAAGGGAUUCAAAUCAGAGCCCGGUAACAACCAAGAGGGGUAGGAAGGGGAAAGAGGUGAGAGAGGGAAGUUCAAGAGGGAGGGGAUACAUGUAUAUGUGUGCCUGACUCCUGUUGAUGUAUGGCAGAAACCAACACAGUAUUGUGAAGCAAUUUUCCUUCAAUUAAAAAUAAAUGAGUUUGGGGAAAAAGGAAAAAAUAAAAAUUGGGGCAAGGAGGGCACAUAUUUUUAAUCUCAUUUCAUUGAUGAGGCUGAAUUAACUACUCCAAAAUUACUUCACCGGAAAGCCAAGACCGGGGUCUGACUUCACACCUUUUCGGUAUCCUGGACUCCUUAUCCCUCCAACCUGCAGCUGUUCCUCAGAGCUGGGGCUGAAAACAAUGAAUUGCAACCCUGGCUGCAUAUUAGAAUCACCCGAGGGCUUUAAAAACGUUCAGGUUAGGGUUAGAACCCCAGAGAUUCUGAUUUAAUUGAUCUGGGUGGGUCCCAGGCUUCAGUAGGUGAUUAAAAGCUCCCCAGCUGCUUCUAACAAGUACCCAGGACUGUGAAUCAUCAUAGGCAAAGUCAGAGGUGGCUCAGGGUAGGAGUUCCCUGGCUUUUCUGCACACUGGAAUCAUCUGGGAAUCUUUAAUAGUCUUGCUGCCUGGCUCCCUCCCACAGACAUUCUGAUCUAGUGCUGCAUGCACCCUGGGCGUCCGGAUUUUUUUUUUUUUUUUCAGGCUCUCCAGGUGAUUCUAAUAGUAAACAAGUUUAAAAACCAUUGGCAUAGUCUAAGGCCCGGCUCCUCGACGCGUGGUCUGUGGACAGCAGCCUCAGGAUCACCUAGGAGCUUGUUAGCAAUGCAGAAUCUCAGAAUCUCUGGACCUGCUGAAUCAGAAUCCACAUUUUAACAAGAUUUCCAGGUGAUUUGUAUGCACAGUCAAAUCUGGCCUAUGGAAUGACAAAAAGGCAGAUGAAGGCAUAAUUUUUUAAUCAACCCAUCUGCUCAUUCAUUUAUUCAGUCAUUAUACUGAUAAUCACACAGCGCUGGCUGUGUGCUAGCACUGUGCCAAACACUGCUUAUUCAAAGAGGAAUAAGGCUAGGGAUGCGGUGAGAAUGGAGCUGUCAGAACCCGAGGGCAAUGCCAGUGCUCAUGGGAGCGGAAAGGAUGCACCGUAUGAGAGAGAACAAGGACUAGUGCCUUUCACUCUCUGGAGAGCAAAGGGCUCAUCUUAUGAGGCAGGUGUGUUCAGGGUCUACGGAGACUCAGGAUGGCUGCUGUGGAGGUGGGUGCACAGGAUAGAGAAGGGGUUCUGUGCCCCACAAGGAGCCUCAGCUUGAGCUGUGGACAAUGAGGUGCCUGUGGAGGCUGUAAGACAGAGGAGAGUGUCCUGGCUCAGAUGGGUCUUCUGAAGAGAGCUGUGAAAGAUCAAGUGGAAGGACUGGAGUGGAAGAAAUCUGGUGGCCAUGGAGACCAACUGGAACAUAGAAAGAAGUCCAAUGAUGAGAGGGUGGCUGGAAGGAUGGGGAAGAGGGCCAGGUUUGAGAGAGGCUGCGUGUGGGCUGGAAGGGAGAGAAGUAAGCAUGGCUUCUGUGCGUGCAGCUUAGGCAUCCAGGUGAAGGUGGCACCAUCAGUUGAGGUGAAGAAACCAGGAAGCUGGGUGAGUUUGAACAGCCUGAGAGGCCACUGUGUGUUUGGGACUGGAACUAAGGAGACAGGCUGAGGCUGGCUGGGGACCUGGGAGUAAACUGCGUCCGAGGGUCAUCGAAGUCAUAGGAAUGAGAGAGAUAAUUUAAAGACAGAGGAGGUGGGGAGAGAGAGACAGAAUACUGGGGCCUGACAGUUUGAAGAGAGAUUGGAGGAGGAGGAGAAAAGGAGGGGGGCAGGAAGGAGGUGGAAAAGUGGGAAGGAGCCAGUAAAGACAGGCUGGCACGAAUGAAUCAGAAAAGGAAAAAGAACACCAAGAUAGAGGAUGCCUGAAAAUAACAAAACAUUUUUGUGGAGUGAAAUGCUGCAGAGAAUCCUGGAGAUGAAGACUGAAAGCUGGAGCUGGGAAUUAGAUCACUCAUGACUCAGUGGUCUCAGUGGUGCACGGGUAGAGAAACCAGGUCGUAGCGGGUCUAGGGGGUUGAGAAAAGGGACAUAGAAAGUGUAGAUUCGUCUCCAUCGUUGGUGGGAAGAGAGAGGGGGAGAUAGAGCAGCAGUUUAAAAAAGAUGUGGGACAAAGGGGUUUCUGUAUCCUGUUUAGGUUGGAGAAAUUUUUUAAAUUUUGUAUUUUAUUGGGGUAUACUUGCGCUACUGUGUUUUGAUUUCUGCUGUACAAUAAAGUGAGUCAGCCACGUGUAUACAUUUGUCUCCUCCCUCUUGAGCCUCCCUGGCCCGCCCUCCCACCCCUCUAGAUGAUCACAGAGCACCACGCUGAGCUCCCUGCGCUAUGCAGCAGCUUCCCUCUAGCUAGAUGUUUACACGUGGUUUGGUAUAUAUGUCAAUCGCAAUCUUCCAGUUCAUCCUCCUUCCCCUUCCCCAGCCCCACCUCCACACAUCUGUUCACCGAGUCUGCAUCUCCAUUCCCGCCCUUGGUAAUAGGUUCGUCUGUACCAUUUCUCUAGAUCCCACAUAUAUGCAUCAAUAUACAAUAUUUGUUUGACCCCACUUCUGAGUUAAGAGGAAAGAAUUAAAAGUGGUUAAAGAUAGUAGGGAGAGAAAAUAACUGUCUUCUACCUAGGAGGGGGAGAUGCAGUUCAGACCAGAGAGGGAGGAAUUCAUCAUGGAGAAGAGAGGGACAUUAAAGCAGUUCCUGUGAGUGUGGGGCAAGUUACCUAUAGACAGCCAGGAGGGAGUGCCAGGCUGAGCAACGUCAGGAGCCCCGAGAAGUUCUGGGAGCGGGACAGAAGCGGUAGAGCCAGCCUGGCAGGAAUCUUUAUGUGUUAAAACACAUACUCCUGUAUUAUAAUUGUGUCAUUUUAAUUUUUGUAUGUCAAUUAGAGAAAUGUAUUGAUUUUUUUAUUGAAUGAAAGAUUCUUUAAAUUUGGUAGUACUGUAUAAUUUUCAGAAGCUUCACAUACAUGACUUCAUGUAAUCCCAUGCGUGCUAAGUUGCUUCUAUGGGCUGUAGCCCACCAGCCUCCUCUGUCCAUGGGGCUUCUCCAGGCAAGAAUACUGGAGUGGGUUGCUGUGCCCUCCUCCAGGGGACCUUCUCGACCCAGGGUCAAACCCAUGUCUCUUCUGUCUCCUGCACUGGCAGGUGUCUUUACCACUAGCGCCGCCUAGGAAGUCCAUGUCACCCUACAAUAACCCCUUUUUUCCUAAACCCCUAUCUUGCCCCUCCCCUUCUCCCUCUUCCCACUGGUAACCACUUAUUUGUUCUCUAUGAGUCUGCUUCUUUUUUGUUAAUAUUCACUAGUUUGUUAUAUUCUUUUAGAUUCUAUGUAUUAGUGAUUGUAUAGUAUUUGUCUUUGUCUGACUUACUUCACUUAGCACAAUACCCUGAGUCCAUCCGCAUUGCUGCAAAUGGCAAAAUUUCAUUUUUUUAAUAGAUGAGUAGUAUUCCAUUCUGUGUCUGCGUGUGUGUACCAUCUUGUCUUUAUCCAUUCAUCUGUGAAUGGAAGAUUAGGUUGCUUCCUUACCUUGGCAAUUGUAAAUAAUGCUGCUAUGAACAUUAGUGUGUAUGUAUCUUUUCAAAUUAGUGUUUUUGUUUUUUUCAGGCUUAUACUCAGGAGUGAAAUUCCUGAGUUAUAUGGUGGUUCUAUUUUUAGCUGUUUAAGAACCUUGCAUACUGUUUUCCACAGUGGCUAUACCAAUUUACAUUGUAUCCAUUUUCUAAAAAAAAUUUUUAAAGUAGCUUUACUCUUUACUCUUUUACUUUAAAAUACUAUACUACUGUUUUAGUAUAAUAUAAUAAAGAGGAUCUUAUCAACGAUUUACUACAAAAGAGGGUGUUUUAACUCUAGCAGAAUUAGGAAAGAAUCUAGUCUAAUCUCUCAACCAAUGAGAGAUCUCUCUCUCUACAGUAACUCUAAUAGCUGGUUGCCUAGCUCUGCUUGACCAUUUCCAGGUCAAGGAACUCAUCUCCUCUCCAGUGAUCUAUUCCAUCAGCUGAGAAAUGAAGAGGCUUGCAUGUAAGGAGCUGAAUCUGUCAUUGAAUAACUCCCUGUACCUCACUAGUCCAACUUAUGUCCUCUGAGGCCACAAAGAAAGUGUCAGUCCUCUGGCAUGAGAUCUCUUUGAUAUUUGCAUGUGGCCAGAAACCCCAUGCAUAUCCCCUUCCAGCCCCUUUACUCUCUUCUCUUCUCCAGACAAAAGGUCUGCAGGACCCCAUCAUUCUGUGUGUGACGCUUUGCUCUCCUGGCCAUCAGACACUGUAUUAAACACGAGGGCUUCAGAGAGACCAGUAGGUUCCAUUCUGCUGGGGGGAUACUUUACAGACUGCUGACCUAUGCCAUUCACUGUGCUCAGCUCUAGGGACCCAAAGAUGAUUGAGAAACAGCUAUGGUCCCCAGAAGCUCAGUCACAUGAAGCGGCCCAUGGAACAGAGUCCUAUCUCCCUUCUUUCUCAAGACGCCUCUAGACUUAUAGGAAGGGGAUAUUCUUUUCUUAAGAAAUACAGAGAUUUCCCUGGUGAUCCAGAGGUUAAGACUCCAUGCUUUCAAUGCAGGGGUUAUGGGUUUAAUCCCUGGUCAGCGAACUAAGAUCCCAUAUGCUACAUGGCAUGGCCAAAAAAAUAAGUAAACAAAAUAAAGUAAUUUAAAAAUACAAUGAUGAGGAGAGGCCAUCAGCAGAUGAGAGGUUUCCACAAAAUUCUAGAAGACUAAGAGCAGCUGGAGGUCUGAAACAGUCAUAUAGAAGAGUGGAGAAAGCAUUGGCUUAGAGAACUCAGAGAAGGGACAGUAAAUGAGAAGGGGCUGCUGUACCCCUGAGAACCCCUGAGAACUGGCCCCCACAGGGCCAGGCAUGGCAGAAGGCAAGAAUGAGAUCUGGUGCCAGAGUAGGGAGAUUAUUUGAACGUCUGCUUAUGUAACUGUCAACCCAUACCACCAGAUUACCAGUCUCCAGCCCUCAGUCACAUGAUUGGAGGUUUCUUCCAGGAAAACUGAAUGGCCUCAGAAAACAGACCUGUGAGGAUCCCCAGAGAGCAGCCAGCUCCCGCUGAGAACCCAAGAGCCAAACUCAGCUACUGAGGAACCCCCAACACACACAGAACUCCCAAAUGGCAUUUCAGUAUCUUAUUUUUCAAUAUAUGAAUCGACGCAGCCAAAGAUAACUCAUCCCUGCAAGGAGAGUCUCCACCAUAAUGAGACUGAGGGAAACAGAGAAAGAAGACCCCUGAGGAAAUGGAAAUAACUGAAGAACUGUAAAGAAUUCAAACAAAACGAGCACAGCCUCUAAUUAAUGUCCACAGAGACAGUACCAAAAGGGAAGGACAAGAAAGCGCUCUUGGAAAUGAAAACAUUUUAAGAAUGGCUGCCAAAAUAAAAUAUUCAGUUAAAUUAAAGAUAAAAUUACAGAAAUUUCCUCGAAAGCAGAAAAUGAAGAUUCAACAGCAUUCCAAGAUGAAGUUGAGGAAAUAACCCAGAAAGCAGAAUAGCAGGACAGAUGAAAAAGAAAAUAGAAAUGAAAAGAGAAUCAAUUUGGUAGGUUCACAUGGGACUAAUAGGAGUUCCAGAAAGAGAGAACAAAGAGCUCUGAGGGGAGGAAACUACCAAAUCAAUAACACAGGAAAAUUACCAACCCUGAAGUUUAGAGGUCUUUAUAAAGAAUAAAAUCAGCAGUAUAUGUCAACCUAAAACUUCAGUGUAUCAGGAACAAAGAAAAUAACCCAAAAAUGUUCAGAGAGAAAAUAUAAAAGCCCAUGAACACUACAGAGGCAAGAUAAUUCUGUUUUUUUCCUUCAAGAGACUCCAAAAUGCAGAGGAACCAGAACUUCAAAAUUCAGAGGGAAGGUAAUUUCAACCCAGAAUUCAAUACAUGACAAAUUAUUAUCACCUAGCACUCCAGUACUCUUGCCUGGAAAAUCCCAUGGAUGGGGGACCCUGGUGGGCUGCCGUCUACGGGGUCACACAGAGUCGGACAUGACUGAAGUGACUUAGCAGCAAUAGCAGCAGCACAGAAUAAAGACAUUUUAAAGAUUAUAUAAGGGCCCAGACAGUAAAGAAUCUACUGGCAAUGCAGGAGACCUGGGUUUGAUCCCUGGGUUGGGAAGAUCCCAUGGAGAAGGGAAUGGCUACCCACUCCAGUAUUCUUGCCUGGAGAAUUCCAUGGACAGAGGAGCCUGGUGGGCUAUAUAGUCCAUGGGGUCACAAAGAGUUGGACAUGACUGAGUGACUAACACUUUCACUUUCAACACAUCAAUUAAGCGAGUUGUUAAUAAUGUACUCCUCAAAAUAAAGGCGGAAGCAAAGAAAGGUGGACAGAAAAUUUCAGAAGCAGUGGCUCCAAUCUGGAGAGCAAUUGGGAGAUGUCUCUGGCUGAUAGCUGAGCCCAGGGAGCUGCUAUCCUGUCCAGUUGGGAGCCCAAGGAGAGAGGGCUCAUGGCAGGUGGUUUCUCAAAAUUAAAGUAACUGAGGCACCAGAGCUUCUGAAUAAAGCAUAAGCCUUAUAUAAAGCAUGGAGAACUGUUUGAAGGAGAUCAUGGGAAAAAAUAAAAUAGAGCCAAUUAGCAAGUCCUGGAAAAGCAAAAAAACCUACACACACAAAGCUUAAACCUUGUAUGCUAAUUGAUUCUGCUGUGGCCACGUUUGCAUAGUCACCAUAAUGUAAACACUAAUUGACCAAAGAUGGUGAUAGACCAGGAGAGGUAAGGCAUGGGCAGAGUCAUACAAGUGAACCCUCAUCUGGUAUAUAAGAAGUACAUCUGCGGGCAAGCAGCUACUCAUAUACUCAUGAGCCAUUUUUAUUUCCUCUUCUGUUUUGUGUUUUGAUUAUUUUUCUGUUUAUUUCAAACCAAAUUCUUCAUCUAGCUUAGUGAUAAAACCAUAGAAGAAGUCCCAUUAGAGUAAGGAGCAGUUAGAUGAAGUGUUAACUAAAGCAGUUAAAUGAGAGAAAGAAAUGAAGCACCAAAUUAGAAAACAGGAAGUAAAAUUGUAUCCUUCAUGUAAAAUGAUGUGAUUAUAUAACUUGAAAACCCAAGAGAAUCAAUGGAAAAAAUUGCAAAUAAUAAGAAUUCUAGAGGAUUGCUGAUGCAAAAUUAAUAUGGCAAAUUAACAGCAUUCCUCAAUAAAACAAUCAGAAGUUUAAAAAUACAACAGAAAGGAAAACCAAUUGUAAUAGCAAUAAAGGGCAAGAUCCAUUAUGAAGAAUUUUGAGAUGUUGUUCAGUAAUGCAAUAGAACUCAUCAAAUGGAGAUGAAAAACUUCUUGGGUUGGAAAAUGUUGAUCUUAAGUAUAAUAAUGUUAAUUCAUCUUAAAUUAUGCAAUAUCUAGAUAAUACCUACAUAAUUAUUUCUUGAAACCAGACAAGCUUAUUUUCAAGUUGAUAUGGAAAAAUAAACAUGCUUGAAGAACCAGGAAAUUCUCAUAAAGAGGAGUUGUGAGAAGAGAGCAGUUCUACUCUGUGUGAAAACAUAAUUAAAAUAGUGAGAUACUGGAGAAUACUUGAUCAGACCAAUAUGAUAGAAUAAAGAGCUCAGAAAUAGGCACAAAUUUAUAUGGGACUUUAGAAUAUCAUAAAAUGGCAUUUCAUAUCAGAGAGGAAAGACAGAUUACUCAGUAAAUAGGUCUGGGCACAGCUGGAGAGAUAUCUGGGGAAAAAGUUGACUCCAGCUCACUCUUUACUUCAAAAUAAUGGAACAAGUAUGUAAAAGUUAAAACUGAAGCUAUAAAGAUACUAGAAGAAAAUAUGGAGUAUCAGUUCAGUUGCUCAGUUGCGUCCAAUUCUUUGUGACCCCAUGGACUACAGCAUGCCAGGCCUCCCUACCACCAACUCUGGGAGUUUAUAAUAUUAAUAUGUAAAUAUAUGGUCUUACAGUAGGGGAGAACUGUGUGCUUAUGAAGCUUUAUUCAACAAAAGACUAGUUAAAUCAACUACUUAAAAAUAUAUCCCUGCACUGGAAAAAAGCACAAGAUUAAGCAACAAAUGAUAAAUUGCUAAAAGAUAUUUGCAGACAUGGCAGACAAAUGCCUACUUUUUUUCUAUAGAAAGAACCACUACAAAUCAAUAUAAAAAAUGAAAAAUCCCACUGAUAAAUGGGUAAGGGAUGUCAAUAAAUAUCAAAGAUAAAGAAAAAUUCAUUGCUCUUGUACAGAUAAAAAGAUACCCAAUCUCAUAAUGAGGGAACUGCAAGUGAAGAUUACAAUGAGAUGUCAUUUUUCAUCCUUCAAAACUCAACAAAGAUGGAAAACAGACUAGUGUAUUGGCAAGGAUGGGGAGCAUCCAUGCAUUAUUGGUGGGAGACUAAACUGGUACAAACCAAUAUCUACUGUCAAGUAGAAAAGGCAAGGAUAGAACAGUGUAUAGAGCAUGUUACCUGUCAUUUACAUUUAAAAAAUAAACACGGAUACUUUAUACAAAUAUAAAGGGGCUUUGAAAGAAAGCACAAGAUACAGGUCUCCUUUCUUCCUCCUUCCCUUUUUUUCCCCCUCAAAUUAAAUUGUUUGUUUAUUUUUGGCUGCACUGUCUUUGUUGCUCUGCACAGGCUUUCUCUAGCUGUGGCGAGCGGAGUCUUCUCUCUCGUUGUGGUGUGCGGGCUUCCCAUUGUGGUGUCUUCUCUUGCUGCAGAGCACCAGCUCUAGAGCUAAGGCUCAGUAGUGGUGGGGCAUGGGCUUUAUUGCUCCGCAGCGCGCGUAAUCUUCCUGGACCACGGUUCAAACCUGUGUCUCCUGCAUUGGCAGGCCGAUUCUUAACCAUUGGACCACCAGGAAAGUCCUCUCCCUCCAUUCUUCUGUCCUUCCUCUUUUUCUCUCCUCCCUUUAAAAAGAAAUAGAAAUAAUUUUAUGUUUGUCUAGUUAUAAAAGUAUUCAUUGCUUCUCAUAAACAAGAAUCUGAAAAAUACAGAAAGAGUUUUGUUAAAAAGAAAGCAAAACCAUCUUCAGCCUUAUCAGAAAAAUCACAGUUAACAUUUUGUUGUAUAUUCUUUCAGAUAUUUUUCCUGAUGUAUAUUUUUGAAAUAUUAUCCCACCUGGCACAUUAUUUUCAAUCUGAUAUUUCUCACUCAACAGCAUCUUCCUCUUCCUACUGGAAUGGUCAAAAUUUGUAUUGCCUUCUAAGAGAAAUGUAUGUAUUAUGGACAUUUAUCUUGGUGUGUCAUAUUUGUACGAUGUUUAAAACUUUUUUUUGACCCCUCGGAGUGGUAAGUAGGUUUUUCAUUCCCCAACCAGGGACUGAACUCAUUCCCCCUGCAUUGGGAGUGUGAGUUCCUGCUCAGUUGCUCAGUCGUGUCUGACUCUUUGUGACCCUAUGGACUGUAGCCCACCAG
ensembl:lncRNA